AGGGUAGUGUGCUAGAGACUGUUGAGGGGAGGAGGCCGCACCUGGGGAGAUGGGAGAGGUUCUCUAGGGAGACAUUUUACUGAGACCUGAAUGGUACGUCAGUUACAUUUUCUUGUGUAAUUACUAGAUUAGUUUCUGCUUCUCCCACUCAGGUGCAAACUCCACAAUAGCAAAGACUACGACAGUUUUGCUAAGAAAUUCUGUAUCUUAGAAGAUCCUCAAGAAAUAUUUUGAGUAAAUAAGUGCCUGUCUUUUGAGAAUUGCCUGGGAACUCCAGAGCAGUCAAUGCAGCCACUUUCUGGAACAUUAUAUAACCAAAAAAAAGGAUCCAGCUCUUACGUUUAACUCUACGUACCAUGCCGAUGAAGACUGUUUCAUUUUGAAUUGUAUAUUCAGCACGUGGCUUGGUGCCUGGCACAAAGUAAGCUUUCAUUAAAUCUUUAUCAAAAUAGCGAUUGAUUGAAUUCCUCUCUCACUCCAGUCAUAAGGGGAAAAUAUAUCGUACCCAGUGUUAAUAGGCCUCUUUGUGGGUCAAUUUCAAAUUUCCAGAGAAAGAUUUAAAAAUAUACUUCAUAAGUCAGAUGUCAUUUAUAUAUUCUAGGCAAUAUUUAGAUUAGCAAC
rnacentral:lncRNA from 1 species